rnacentral:rRNA from 1 species
UACGUACUGUGCGAACGUUAUUCGGAAUCACUGGGCUUAAAGGGUGCGUAGGCGGCCUGUUAAGUAGGGUGUGAAAUGCCAGAGCUCAACUUUGGCAUUGCGCUCUAGACUGGCUGGCUUGAGUGAGAUAGGGGUGUGCGGAACUUCCAGUGGAGCGGUGAAAUGUGUUGAUAUUGGAAGGAACGCCGGUGGCGAAAGCGGCACACUGGGUCUUUUCUGACGCUGAGGAACGAAAGCUAGGGGAGCAAACGGG